rnacentral:piRNA from 1 species
UGGUAGGUAACAUUUUAGAGGCAUUGUUUC